GACGAACGCUGGCGGCGUGCUUAACACAUGCAAGUCGAACGGAAAGGCCCUGCUUGUGUGGGGUGCUCGAGUGGCGAACGGGGGAGGAACACGUGAGUAACCUGCCCUUGACUUUGGGAUAACUUCAGGAAACUGGGCCUAAUUCCGGAUAGGAGCUCCUGCUGCAUUGUGGGGGUUGGAAAGUUUCGGCGGGUGGGGAUGGACUCGCGGAUUAUCAGCUUGUUGGUGGGGUAGUGGCUUACCAAGGCUUUGACCGGUAGCCGGCCUGAGAGAGUGACAGGCCACACUGGGACUGAGAGACGGCCGAGACUCGGAAGGGAGGCAGAAGGGGGGAAUAUUGCACAAUGCGCGGAACGCUGGUGAAGCAACGCCGCGUGCGGGAAGACGGUCUUCGGGUUGUAAACCGCUUUCGCCUGUGACGAAGCGUGAGUGACGGUAAUGGGUAAAGAAGCCACGGCUAACUACGUG
rnacentral:rRNA from 1 species